rnacentral:tRNA from 1 species
AUGAAAAAACGUUUAUCCAAUGUCGCAGUGGAUGCCGUAUUUGAUAGUGUUUCCAUUGCUACGAC